GUCACGCCCUAAACGAUGUCAACUGGUUGUUGGACGGCUUGCUGUUCAGUAACGAAGCUAACGCGUGAAGUUGACCGCCUGGGGAGUACGGCCGCAAGGUUGAAACUCAAAGGAAUUGACGGGGACCCGGCACAAGCGGUGGAUGAUGUGGUUUAAUUCGAUGCAACGCGAAAACCUUAACCUACCCUUGACAUGUAAAGAAUCUUGCAGAGAUGUGAGAGUGCUCGAAAGAGAACUUGAACACAGGUGCUGCAUGGCCGUCGU
rnacentral:rRNA from 1 species